UGACUGAAAAUUGCAUUAAAUGCAAAUUUGAUGCUGCUAAUUGCUGCAAUUAUACAAAAUGCAGAGGGGCGCAAAUACUGAAGAUUGCGAGAUUGCAUUAACUGCAAGCUGACUAGCAGAGCUGCUGCCAUACAAAGUACAGAGGGGCGCAAAACUGGAAAUAGCAGAAAUGCACUAAUUGCAAGCUGACUAGCAGAGUACAUCAACCACAGCAAGGAGGAUUAGCUAAGUGGACUCUACAGCCAAUAGGCCACAUAAUUAAGUUAGUUUUAAGUUAAUUCGAAAUGUGCAUUUAGGCGCAAGCGCCGUCACAUAAGUUCGCUGCAUAUAUGUAUAUAUGUGCCGAAAAUAAACUUUUGAAUUGUAAUUAGA